AUGUGGGGAAUUUUGGACAAUGGGCGCAAGCCUGAUCCAGCCAUGCCGCGUGAGUGAAGAAGGCCUUCGGGUUGUAAAGCUCUUUCGGCCGGGACGAAAAGGUUCGCGUUAACACCGCGGACUCAUGACGGUACCGGCAGAAGAAGCACCGGCUAACUACGUGCCAGCAGCCGCGGUAAUACGUAGGGUGCAGGCGUUAAUCGGAAUUACUGGGCGUAAAGCGUGCGCAGGCGGUCUACUAAGAGAGGUGUGAAAUCCCCGGGCUUAACCUGGGAACUGCGCUUCUAACUGGUAGGCUUGAGUGUGGCAGAGGGGGGUGGAAUUCCACGUGUAGCAGUGAAAUGCGUAGAGAUGUGGAGGAACACCGAUGGCGAAGGCAGCCCCCUGGGCUAACACUGACGCUCAUGCACGAAAGCGUGGGGAGCAAACAGGAUUAGAUACCCUGGUAGUCCACGCCCUAAACUAUGUCAACUGGUUGUCGGGGAAGCAAUUCCUUGGUAACGAAGCUAACGCGUGAAGUUGACCGCCUGGGGAGUACGGCCGCAAGGUUAAAACUCAAAGGAAUUGACGGGGACCCGCACAAGCGGUGGAUUAUGUGGAUUAAUUCGAUGCAACGCGAAAAACCUUACCUACCCUUGACAUGCCAGGAAGCUCGCAGAGAUGUGAGUGUGCCCGAAAGGGAACCUGGACACAGGUGCUGCAUGGCUGUCGUCAGCUCGUGUCGUGAGAUGUUGGGUUAAGUCCCGCAACGAGCGCAACCCUUGCCAUUAGUUGCCACAUUAAGUUGGGCACUCUAAUGGGACUGCCGGUGACAAACCGGAGGAAGGUGGGGAUGACGUCAAGUCCUCAUGGCCCUUAUGGGUAGGGCUUCACACGUAAUACAAUGGCCGGUACAGAGGGCAGCCAACCCGCGAGGGGGAGCUAAUCCCAGAAAGCCGGUCGUAGUCCGGAUUGCAGUCUGCAACUCGACUGCAUGAAGCCGGAAUCGCUAGUAAUCGCGGAUCAGCAUGUCGCGGUGAAUACGUUCCCGGGCCUUGUACACACCGCC
rnacentral:rRNA from 1 species